rnacentral:rRNA from 1 species
UACGGAGGGUGCGAGCGUUGUCCGGAAUCAUUGGGCGUAAAGGGCGCGUAGGUGGCUUCUCAAGCGUGCGGUGAAAGCCUGGGGCUCAACCCCGGGUCGGCCGUGCGAACUGGGGGGCUGGAGCACUGUAGAGGCAGGCGGAAUUCCGGGUGUAGCGGUGGAAUGCGUAGAGAUCCGGAAGAACACCGGUGGCGAAGGCGGCCUGCUGGGCAGUUGCUGACACUGAGGCGCGAAAGCGUGGGGAGCGAACAGG